AUGAGAUUAGGUCAGUUGGUCAGAGCAUGGUGCUAAGAAUGCCAAGGUUGUGGGUUUGAUCCCCAUCCAGGCCAUU